CUACAAAUACUGCAUAACCUUUACUCAAAAAAUGUUGCGUUUCGAAACGGUCGCAAGCGCAUGCGCACUGUAGCUCACAGCAGGACCGCUUCUGCUCCGAGUCCAGACGUUACAGGAUCACACACAGAGCAAGAGGUGGUCCCGACGACAGUCAUUCUUCAGGAAGCAAAUCACAUAAAAACAUUAUCCUCAUUAUUCAGUGUCCUUUGGAGGAGCCAGUGGACUUUGUGGACAGUUGGACUUCAGGUCUAGGGAGAGGAGGUAGAGGAGGAACCGUUAUUCGCAGCCUUAUACUGUACCUCGGGGAGAAGGAGGAGGAACUUAUUGAAGACUGCUUGGAGGACAGCUGGAGUGACGUCAAUAAACAUAUCCUGAAAAUACAUGUUCUCCACGGUGCUGAUGAGGAUCCAGUUGAUGUCUCCAUCCUUGAAGGCCUGGAGAUUUUGGCAGCAUUCAACAGUACUGCAAAAGCCUGCUCGCUCCUCCUGGGACUGAAAUAUGCCCUGAACUUGGCAUACCCUCCACUGAUCUCUAUUUAUUCACUGGAUUGCUGAUUCGCCGUUGUUAGUACACAUCUCUGUGAAGCCACCAGCCGCCAUAUUGGUACUCCUUAUUUUCCCCCAGUAACUAGGGAAUAUGUGCUCUACAGCAUUAAAUAACGAGGAUUU